GAGAGUUGAUCCUGGCUCAGGAUGAACGCUGGCGGCGUGCCUAACACAUGCAAGUCGAGCGAAGCAUACAGGAGGAAGUUUUCGGAUGGAAUCCUGUAUGACUGAGCGGCGGACGGGUGAGUAACGCGUGGGUAACCUGCCUUAUACAGGGGGAUAACAGUUAGAAAUGACUGCUAAUACCGCAUAAGCGCACAGUGCCGCAUGGUACGGUGUGAAAAACUCCGGUGGUAUAAGAUGGACCCGCGUCUGAUUAGCCAGUUGGCGGGUAACGGCCCACCAAAGCGACGAUCAGUAGCCGACCUGAGAGGGUGACCGGCCACAUUGGGACUGAGACACGGCCCAAACUCCUACGGGAGGCAGCAGUGGGGAAUAUUGCACAAUGGGGAAACCCUGAUGCAGCAACGCCGCGUGAGUGAAGAAGUAUUUCGGUAUGUAAAGCUCUAUCAGCAGGGAAGAAGAUGACGGUACCUGACCAAGAAGCCCGGCUAACUACGUG
rnacentral:rRNA from 1 species